AUGACACAUUUGUUCCAUGGUUAUGUCGAAGCGUCGGCUCCUGAGGAAAUUCUUGGACUAUGGUUUUUGACUUCACGUGUAUUCGUUCAGGAAAAUUCUAGCCUAACAAUUUAUCAUGGAUUCGCUCUUGCAGGUUGCAACUUCAAUCCCAACUUAGGAAUCAUACAUCCGCUUUCACAUUUCUUUCAUCGAUCUACCUUUCAUCCAAUGCAAAUCUGGUUGCUUGUCAUGUAUACAUGGAAAGACAAUAUAACUGAAUUGCUUCUAUCUAUACUGUAUAUUUGUGCAUGGGACGAGUCAUUAGGAUUGUUGUGUGACUAUGGCAAUUGUGGAUCUUUGUUUCCAACUCUCUUUGGCCGAAAAUAA
rnacentral:rRNA from 1 species